AUGAACGCUGGCGGCGUGCCUAACACAUGCAAGUCGAACGAAGCACCUCGCCCGAUGAAGAGGAGAGCUUGCUCAAAUCGGAAUCAAUUGAGGUGACUUAGUGGCGGACGGGUGAGUAACGCGUGGGUAACCUGCCGUAUACAGGGGGAUAACAGUUAGAAAUGACUGCUAAUACCGCAUAAGCGCACAGUAUCGCAUGAUACAGUGUGAAAAGCCGAGACGGUAUACGAUGGACCCGCGUCUGAUUAGCCAGUUGGCAGGGUAACGGCCUACCAAAGCAACGAUCAGUAGCCGGCCUGAGAGGGUGAACGGCCACAUUGGGACUGAGACACGGCCCAAACUCCUACGGGAGGCAGCAGUGGGGGAUAUUGCACAAUGGGGGAAACCCUGAUGCAAGCGACGCCGCGUGAGCGAAGAAGUAUUUCGGUAUGUAAAGCUCUAUCAGCAGGGAAGAAAAUGACGGUACCUGACUAAGAAGCUCCGGCUAAAUACGUGCCAGCCGCCGC
rnacentral:rRNA from 1 species